rnacentral:rRNA from 1 species
CCUUUUCUUUUCUUUUUGUGGGGACGGGACUGGGCGAAGGUGUUGAGGGGGCGUUGGAGAGGAGGGGGCUCGCGGAGUAGGGUGGCGGCGGGAGUCUAGGGCGGCGGCGUGUGCGGGAGGGGCCUUGGGCGCCGGCGCGCGCGGGAGCGACCUUGGGGGCGGCGGCUCUCGGGGGACGGCAGCACGCGGGAGGGGCCUGCGGGGCGGCGUCGGGCGGGAGGGGCCUGGGGGCGCGGUGGCACGGUGGUGGCCCUAGGUUAGCGGUUGCUCUCGGAGAGGCGCUGGGGGGCGGGUCAACACCAGCAGCGGUCUACGGAGCGACGGCAGCUUGCGGCAGAAGGAAGCCCGUCGGUGCGUGGCAGGCUCGUGGCGGCACGGAAGAGCGUGGUCACGCAGCGGGGGCCAGAGGAGGACGGUACGGGAACGUCCUUCGAACACAGCGGCGUUCUUCAAGUUUACGGUAUCGUCACCGGCCUGUCUAAACUAUGUACCACGAGGGAGGGUGUUUCACCGACAACGAUCUGCUCCUUAGUUUGAGCGGAGGCGACGAUGGUUGGGGUGGUGACAACCUCUCCUCUCCUCCUUACGUUCGUACUAACUCGACCCUAUGGGCUCGGUUCCCCUCCUACGUAUUGUACCGUUGAUGAUCUUACCGUCCUCGACCAACUAGCAGCCCUGAACCUUACCUCCAACUGGUAGUACCUAGCUACCACCUAGUGCGGCCGGCCAGCCGUACGUACGUACGUACGUACGUAAAAGAAGAAAAAGUUUAAGUCUAAGACUCCAGCUCCUUCGGCCAGACCGCCUCGUGCCGCAACGUCUGCGCCUGAGGAGACGGAAGAACCGAAGUACGAGGCACAAGAGUGGCCGGCGGACCGGGCCAUUAAAAUAACAUAAAAAUAACCGAAGAACCGACACUUAACUGGUUUUAUACUGGACUCAACCGUACGGUACUAGAUUGCGUUCGUGCUGUGACCGGGUUAGGCCAGUUGUUUUCGUUUGAACCCAGUCACUACGAACGUUCAACUCCGAUGUUGUAUAGUCAUGUGAAUUUUCAUUCGGUUUCUCUUGUAGAUCAUCUUGACUAGAAACAUAUCAGACAUCUACAACGUCUUUCUUAAUACGGGUCGUUCACUUCGAAAGAAGGGCCAGCAGAAACCAAAUCUGACCGUGUCGACAAAGUGAAAACAGUCCAGCUGUUCCUACGUUUACUACAUGAUACUCUCUUCUUUCGGCGUAAGCGGUGUUGGGUCAGACUACUUCUUCUUCUUUGACUACUUUACCACACGGUGCUUGUCCAACGGGCUUUUUAUCACAGCUACGACUUAUUUUCGACAGUGGACGUCAUGGGAACCGUCAUACAGAAUGACAUAAAAGGUCGGAACAACGUCUAUCACCUCAACCAUUUUGCUUCGUUACGGCAGUUCCAAGGUGUAACAAAGCUGUUGUCCGAAAUGGAGUAGAGAAGGGAACUGAAAAAGGAAGGGAUCGCGGGGUUCAGUAAUAGGUUUCUUUGACUUACUUC